rnacentral:sRNA from 10 species
GACAUAAGACUCAACCAUAGAAAACAUCCGUGACUGCUUGCAGGUAAAGGAUGUUUUCUAUGUUGGGAGUAAAACAAUAUGAGUAUGAAGGACGACAGUCCGGAAUACGAAUAUUGGUUGCAAUUUCGAGAGUGCGCAGCACAUAGAAAUUGCUUAUGAUA